AUCCACCACUGAGGUGUUGCUCUCUUCCUCUCAUUCUUAUCUCCUCCUCUCCUCCAUUGUGUCUCGUCGCCUGUAAUACAUACAUCCGCAUCCAACCUCCACUGAGUGCUCUCCCCUGCCAGCUCACUCCCAGAGACCUUGACGACCGCGGAGGUAUGUUUCCUGCUAAAAACUGAUUACUUCUGCUGCUUGAGAGUCUGAUAGAUUUGUGUUGGUUGAAUCCAGGGUCGCAGUGAAAAACUAGCUAUCAAGAACCAUUCAGAGCUGACCGCUGACCCGGACGUAACUUCUUCUCACCUUUCUUGCUGUUCUGCUCACCUUGUUAAUCUGCUGGUUUGCUUACUACAGUAGAUUAUAGUUUCUUCUUCUUCCACACUGGGAGCAGUGAGCCUCUGGUGGGCCGUCGCAGCUUCCGCUUCCUUGUCCCCUCCGACGAGGGUGCCCCCGCUCUGUUCUGCUUUGCCGUGAAGCACCAA
rnacentral:lncRNA from 1 species